rnacentral:rRNA from 1 species
UACAGAGGGUGCAAGCGGUAAUCGGAAUUACUGGGCGUAAAGCGCACGUAGGCGGUUUUUUAAGUCAGAUGUGAAAGCCCCGGGCUCAACCUGGGAAUUGCAUUUGAAACUGGGAAACUAGAGUGUGUGAGAGGGGGGUAGAAUUCCAAGUGUAGCGGUGAAAUGCGUAGAGAUUUGGAGGAAUACCAGUGGCGAAGGCGGCCCCCUGGCACAACACUGACGCUCAGGUGCGAAAGCGUGGGGAGCAAACAGG